rnacentral:misc_RNA from 1 species
CAUUCAGUAGCCUCGCUACUUGUUUAUACCCUUGUUUUUUUGCGUACUAUUGUUUCCUCGGCGGGCUUGCCUGCCGGUUGGACAAAACUAUAACCUUUUUAAAUCUUCAAUCAGCGUCUGAAUUAUACAUAAUAAUUA